rnacentral:tRNA from 1 species
CCUUCGAUAGCUCAGUUGGUAGAGCGGUGGACUGUAGUGUUUCAAGAAAGCUUCAAGCUUUCAACAGUUAUCCAUAGGUCACUGGUUCAAAUCCGGUUCGAAGGA